rnacentral:lncRNA from 1 species
AACUGAUUUUGAUAUGGAAUGAGUGAUUAGGCCAAGUGCAAAAAGGUAAUAUUUACAGUUUUCGGAACAUCUCUUGACUUGUCAAUAGGGGUAUGGAUGUGUAUUGGCUAAAUUUGUAAAAGUGAUUGCUUCAAUCUUUCUGAAUUUUGGAUAUAUAUUUGGACUAGGACAAUACAUUAACACACCAAAAAAUUGGACAAAAGUGCAUGGUGCAAUUUUUUUAAUGAUGCAAAAGGUUAUAAAGAACUGAUAGAGGAAUUAAUUGUGGUCUGUGGCCUAAGAGGUGCAUUUCAGCAAAUUUAGAAUUUUUACUUUGGCAUCUUUUCUGAAUGAUCUAUUGGUAUUGAUUUGUCAAACUAUAUGAGAAGAAAUGAUUUUCACUUUCAUUUGAUAGAAAUUUUGUGAAAAAGUCACUUUUCAGGUUAAAUGCCUAAAAUGUAGCUUUUUCACUUUUUUCACUAUUUUUUCAAAA